CGGCCUUAUCACGUUAAAACACCAGUUCCCGUACGAUCAUUGAAGUUAAGAAAAAACGGAGCCAGGUCAGUAACUGUAUGGGUGACCGCUUGGGAAUACCAUAUACUGUAA